UUCCGGAAAUCCCUUUAUUAUGGCGGAAUGAACUCUGUAUAAGGUCCGGGUCAAUCUGCAUGUCCCCUGCUCUCAUCGCUGCUGCUGUCUCUGUGGUUGGCGUGCUUGUCAGAUAUUGACAAAUUACAGACUCCAUAUCGAUUGACAGCGUGCAAUAACCCGGCCAAUUUAUUCAACUUUAUACCCUCUCUCGAUCCACUCAACGGUCAGGUUUUUUUUCCCCCGCGAUCAAAGCCCUGAUCAGUGUGGGAUGGCGAGCCACACGACCACCGCUGCACUGCGGGAUUGCUGGGUGGCUUGAUGGUGGGAGCAACUACAGGAGGCACGGAGGAACUAGUAGGGAUGACUCCUGUGGCCAGUAAGAUGAUAAUGAGGACAAUAAUUAGGACGAUCACAAUUAUGACCACAAUCAACUUGACAUUCUUCCACCAGUAGGAGCGAGCCACCUUGUGAGACGUCUGCUUGAAGUGCUGAGCCUACGAAAGGAAAGAGACAGGAGAAUCAAUAAAAUUAUGUAAUAAAUUCUAUUGCUAUA